GCCCAGGCUGAUCUCAAACUCCUGACCUCAAGUGAUUCUCCACCUCAGCCUCCCAAAGUGCCAGGAUGACAAGCAUGGCUGAGUUGGUAUGGGCUCUCCUUUCCCCAUAUCCAAGGCAAGCUUCCAGGACUCUUCUGGGACCAUCAGGUGCUAGGGACCAUCUUAGUUCCUACCUCAGUUUCACACAUGAGAAAACUGAAGUCCACAGAGGAGGUGUGGCUUCAUCAAAAACCCACUGAGAACGAGUGUCAGAAUCAGGCUAGGACACAUUGGACUCCUCCUCCAGGGCUCUCUGACCUCCAAGGCCCUUUGAAAUCUCUCUCCAGCUGCAAACAGAUUGCUAGACUUCUGAUGGAGGUGAUCUGAGAUGAGCACCCUCUAAGAGCAGCCUCUGCGAGCCUCUAAGAGCAGCCGGGACCUGUGGAGAACAGAAUAUGGCCUAGGAGCGCAACAGCCAAGUGUUCAGCACCACGGACAGCUUCGCUGACCUAUUGCUGGGGAGGCCAGAGGUGGGGAGGCUGGUUGUCCAGCAAGACAGAGUGUCAUGGGAGAGAGAAAAAAAACAUGGGAAAGAUCUCAGAGACCAUCUAAUCCAGCCUCCUCGAUUUGCAUGGGGGGAGACCCAGGACAAGAGAGAAGUGACUUGUCCAAGGUCACACAACAAGUCAGUAGAGAGCCAGAGAUGGGAGCUGACAGCCUACUUCCUCACACCUCUUCAAGGCCCUCAGAUACCUGGUGUCCAUGACUUAUUAGUGGCACAGCCAGACCUUGAUUAAGGGCUCCAAAAUUAAAAUCACCUGUCCUUGGAAAUGAUAAGAAAAGAAAAGAAAAAAGGAGAAAUCAAAGAAAUGGAAAGAGCACCCGGCCCUGAUGGGAAGGUCUGUGAUUUGGCCUCUAACUGCAAGGCUUUGACAGGAGCUUCCUACUUUCCAAGAUGAUGUGGCCUUUCAGAAACGAUUUAGUUACCAUGGCAACCUCAUUCCAGGUUUCAUCUCCAUGGCAAUUCACUGGAGUUUUUCACCCUCCGAGACAAGGUCUCACCAUGUUGCCCGGAAUGGACCUGAACUCCUGAGCACAAGAGAUCCUCCUGCAUUAGCCUCCGGAAGUGCUGGGAUUAUAGGUAUGAGCCACCACCCUGACCUCCAAAUACCUUUUGAACUCAGGCUUGGAUUUGAACUCUGGUUCUAUCAACUAUUAGCUGUGAUUUCAGAUCAGUGAUGGGAGCAAUUUGUGCCUUGUUUCAUUAAGUGGAGAUGACAAUAGCAUCUGCCUUGCAAGAAUUAUUUGAUGUGGCCGAUGAGAAAAAUCAGAAUUAUGAAAAGUGCUUCACACCAUUCCUGGCAUGUGAAGAGCCCUCUCUAAAUGGCCAUUAUGCUAAUUAGCACCUUAAAGGGAAAUCGUUUUCAUGAAAUUUUAUUUGAAUCUGGCUAGAGAAAGUGCUCACCUUCCUCCUUGUGUUUUGCUUAUUUGAUUAAAUAUCUUUGAUUUCUGUGAUGUGUGAAGUCCCUUGAAAGCAGGGCUGUGUGUUCAACAAAGGUUUGUGGCCUUCCCGCAGUGAAUUGUGCUGGGUGCUGUGGGAAAUACAAACACAGGGAAGACAGUUCUGGUCCUCAGGGGAAGUGUAGUGGGGAAGACGGACAUGAGAACCUAACCGUAACAGGAUGCAGAGCAAGGCAUGCGCCAUGCACUGCGGCCAUGUUACCUCCUGGUUUGGAAUGUGAGCUCAGACACCAGUCUGCCUGGGUUUGGAUCCCAGCUCUGCCACUUAUUGGCUGCACAACCUCAAACAAGUCUCUUAACCUUGCUGGGCUUCAGUUUCCUCAAAUGUAAAGUAAAAAUGGUAACAGGAGAGUUAAUGCAUGAACAGAGUCUAACACAUAGAAGGGCUCAAUUGACAUUAGCUGUCAUUACCAACAUAUACAAAGAUAGUGUGGAGGGGAUAUGUGAGAAGCGAUUAUAAUUCUGUUUAAUGGGUGAGGUUGUACUUGAGCUUGAUCUUGGAGGAUAAGUAGUUCUCAAAGGGCAGAAGAGAAGAAGAGAGGCAUUUUGGGGGAAGCAGAGCAGCAGGAAGAGAGGCAUGGAGUGUGAACUCUGCAACGUUCUCUGGGUACAGCAUGGGGGCUGGAUCACAGGUGCAUGGAGAGAAAUACUGGGAAAUGGGCCAGUGCAAGGGUUUAGGACAGCCCCUAGGAGGUCUUGAAAACUGGCUCAAGCAUUCAGACAGUUCUGUAAACAACAGAGACCCACUACAGGCUACUGGAGAGAAGCAACAUGGUGCCACCUGUGUUCUGGGAAAAUCACCUUGGUGGCAGUGAAGGAGGGAUAAAGAAAGAAGGGGGUAGGGGGCCCAGAGACCGUUUGGGGGCUAUAGCACAGCCCAGGCAAAAACGUCAAGAGCUUAAGCAGGGAGGUGGCCAAGAGGGAGAGCCACUGUGAACACAGAAUCCGACAGGCUUGGUGAAGGAGUGGGCAGAGUCAGACAGGGUUUCCUGCUAGGUGGCUGGGAAGAUGGCAGUGGCGAUGCUCUUACAGAAUCAGGGCCCUGGGAAGAGGACCAGCCUGGGAUAGGGGCCUUCUUCAGCUUGGGGCAUACGGCAUGGCCCAGUGCAGACCCUUGUAUGUCCCUCACUGCUGUUCCUUCUCUUCAGCUCCAACAAGCCCCAUAGAGCACCUUGCACCAGUCAGGCGCUCAGUGAAUACCUCUGAGUAAGGAACCACAGGGAAGGAGGUGUCCAGAGACCUCCCCACUCCAACUUCCUCCAUUCCAGAUCCAGCCUCUUCCUCUCCCUCCCCACUGUGGACACCCCUGAACAUCUCCUGUUUCUGAAUCUUUAGGGAAAAAAUGUCCCCAACUCUGUCUCUCAGCACUGCCUCCUUUCUCUGCCCCAACCCACUGAACGUGUGACUCAUUCCCACGCUUGCAUCCUAAAGCCCUGCCUGGGGUGUCCCUCCAUGCGGGGACCGCUGGAGCAGAGGCCAUCACCAUCAUAACACCCUCCACCAGCCACCCAGCCCCUACCAUGGGAAGAGCACCGUGCCAAGCUCAUCAAUCACCAUCAGAUACUCUCGACAAACACAAGAGGAUGGGCUUUCUGAUUCCCAUUUUACAGAUGGGAAGAAUGUGACUCAGAGAACUUAGUCGGCUUGCUCUUGCACACACAGCUGGUUCUGUGUAAUCAUACAGCUUGAACAGGUCCCCUGCCCUCUGCCUGCCUCCCCCACCAGCACCUCCACAAUGGCCACGCAGAUCUUCAGGACACAAGCAGAAAGCAGGGGCUACCUGAGACUGGAACAUCAGGGCAUCUCUUGGGAUCAGCACCACCUGCAGUCAUUGAAUGCAGAAGGGCCUUCUAAUCCCGGGACCUGUCCAGACCCCCAAGGAUUCUGAUGUAAUUGGUCUGGGGUGCAACCCCAAAAGCAGGACUUUUAAAAGCUCCUCCAGGUAAUUCUCAUGAGGUUGAAAAAUGAUUGUUCUAAUGGGUCCUGCCCUGAAAGCAUCCCUGCCGACACCUGCCCCCCACCACAGUCACCGUGGACCUGCUCUGCUGCCUCAGUACUGAGCUUCUCAUGCUGGAUGCAGCCGGGCCAUGGCACAGGUCCUCACAGCCACCGGCCUCCCAGGAGAAGCGGAAGCUGAUCUUGCUGUGGCUCUCCUCCACUCUGGCUCCCUUUUCCGACUCCAGAUACUUCUCUCCAUCCACCUUCCCAGGUUUCCAGAGCCUUCUUAUGGUCCAAAGCUCCCCCUCUCCACAAGGGGACACUCUAGCUGCCCUUCUGGAGAGGACUGAAGACCCCAAGUUGACUCCCUGGUCCUUGUGCCCCCUGGGGGGCCACUGAGAGCCAGGCAGGGAGGCUGGCUGGUGUCAGCAGGAGGGAGGGUGGUGGGGCAGGUGGCAGAGUGGCCAGAAAGAAGGCAGCCUUCAAAUGCUGGUUCCGCCACCUCCUCCCACUGGGCUGUUUCCCCUAUGUCACAGUGAGAGAGCUGCACAGGACCCUAGCUCCACCCUGCAGAGGGGCCAGAGUUGCUUUCUUAUGCCUGGAGACCCUAAACAACGGUGGAACGAUCAGGCUUCCCUGCUGCGGGCUGGGACCAGCCUUUGUUCUGAUGGCCAGAAGCUCUGAUGAGCAGGUGUAGACAGCAGACAGUUUCCUUAUUCAGCAAUAAGGACAGUGUGCAUGGUGGAUAAAUGCCUUAAACACAGAAGAGUUCACGGGAAAAAAAA